GGAGCGUUGCCAGAGUGGUCUAAUGGGCCUGCUUGGAAAGCAGUGAGUUGGUGAAAGCCGGCACGGGGGUUCAAAUCUCUCACGCUCCGCCA
rnacentral:tRNA from 1 species